GGCCAGAUCUGAACUCAGGUCCUCCUGAUUCUAGGGCCAGUGCUCUAUCCACUGCACCAUGUAGGUGUCCCCUCCCCAUCUACCUAGAACAGGGGUGAGGGGAAACAGCUCUUUAGAACAAUCUGAGAGAAUUUAAUGAAGGAGGUAAAGUUUUAGGAAUUGGGAGAGGUGAUUUGGUGGGGAGGGAAAUGAUGCAUUGGUAGGGGGUUAGCCAAAACAAAUUCUAAGGUCUCUGCCAGCUCUGAAAUUCUAUGAUAAGUGGGAGGAGGUUCCAAGAAUAUAAGACUUGCUAUACUGUGUUAGACUUGGGACAUGUAUGGACAGGCCUGUUUUUUUCUCCUUGGUGUCAUCUUAAGAGAUCAGGAAGAUUUCUCCAAACAUCCUAAUUUGCCUUGUUCAACCUUUGCCAACUUUCUAGUCUUGUCUUCGACACUAUUGAAGCUGCCUUUAUCAAAUUCUCUUCUGACGACUUCUUGACUGCUCUCUAAAAUCCUUUGCUAAUUUUUCAUGAUUCCUUAGCACCCGACAUUCAGUAAGCUCUAAAAAAAAAUCACCGUCUUUGAGUCUCUGGAUUUUUCUAGGGUUGGAUGAGUCUGGAAUUUUUUUUAAACCUCUGUACUUUAACAUAGGACUUUGUGUGCAUAUCAUUGUUGGGCGCAGAAUGCUUUCCUGCAAAGGAAUUUGGGCUUUCUGUUUAAAGUGAGAUGUUUAUCACCCUCACUCUUUUCUUCUAAUGGUUUAGCUCCUACUUAGCAUUAUCUUUUUCUGUUUCUAGAUGUCUUCCUUCUCUAUCUUCUUCCACAGCCAAAGCCCACACUGUCUCCCUGAGAUGUAGCUUGAGUCUUUAGGAGCUGCUCCCCAUAUCUGUGCCCUAGGCUUGACCCUGCAAUGCCGUAGUUGCUACAUUACCCACAUUUUUCCUUACAAGUCUUCCCCCUGCUUCAGUUUUGCUUCCGCUCUUGGCACUACCAUGCCAACACAAAUAGGGAGGCCACAGGUUACCAGGACAACCAGAGCACAGGAAACCGUAAAGGUUCAGGGCUUCCACAGGCAUCACAGACUGUGGCUCAACUGCCUUGAUUUCUCCCCAGGGAGUCAGCCACACCUCUCAUCUACCUACCUCCUUCCCCUAAACCACCCAGUAGCCCUUGCCUGAGGCAGAAGUAUAUGUUCAGGACUGGUGCAUACCCAGGCCUAAGUGAAGAGCUGAGUCUUCUUUAUCUUCUGCAGAUCUGAUUUCCCUGCCCUGGAAAUAUGGAGUGGUUUGAGAGGUGUCAAACUGGCAGCCUGAGGGAGCGUGGUGAGAACCAUAUAAAAAUGAAAUUGGAAAACGUUUAACAAAAUAGGCCUGGAUGCAGGGCAGACGGCUUUGGGUUUACUUGGUUUCUGGGGAUACUGAAGAUGUUUAUGAUCACUUCUGUUGACAAUUCUCAAAUUCCAACAUUAGGAGCUAAGAUUGGAGGCCCUACUUCCUUGGAAUAUCCUUCUUUGAAGCAGGCCUUUCUG